GAUGAACGCUGGCGGCGUGCCUAAUACAUGCAAGUCGAGCGAACUGAUUAGAAGCUUGCUUCUAUGACGUUAGCGGCGGACGGGUGAGUAACACGUGAGCAACCUGCCUGUAAGACUGGGAUAACUUCGGGAAACCGAAGCUAAUACCGGAUAGGAUCUUCUCCUUCAUGGGAGAUGAUUGAAAGAUGGUUUCGGCUAUCCCUUACAGAUGGGCCCGCGGUGCAUUAGAUAGUUGGGGAGGUAACGGCUCACCAAGGCAACGAUGCAUAGCCGACCUGAGAGGGUGAUCGGCCACACUGGGACUGAGACACGGCCCAGACUCCUACGGGAGGCAGCAGUAGGGAAUCUUCCGCAAUGGACGAAAGUCUGACGGAGCAACGCCGCGUGAGUGAUGAAGGCUUUCGGGUCGUAAAACUCUGUUGUUAGGGAAGAACAAGUACAAGAGUAACUGCUUGUACCUUGACGGUACCUAACCAGAAAGCCACGGCUAACUACGUGCCAGCCGCCGCCGUAAUAC
rnacentral:rRNA from 1 species